UACGUAGGGGGCAAGCGUUGUCCGGAUUUAUUGGGCGUAAAGCGCGCGCAGGCGGCUCGUCAAGUCUGGCGUGAAAGCCCCCGGCUCAACCGGGGAGGGUCGUCGGAGACUGGCGAGCUUGAGGGCGGUAGGGGCUGGUGGAAUUCCCGGUGUAGUGGUGAAAUACGUAGAUAUCAGGAGGAACACCGGUGGCGAAGGCGGCUAUCUGGCCAUGUACUGACGCUGAGACACGAAAGCGUGGGGAGCAAACAGG
rnacentral:rRNA from 1 species